UGAUAGGAUGGAAGAGGAGAGAGAGAGCGAAGGUUGGGACGGCGCAAUACCAUCCGAGUAGGGGGAGAGUGAGAAGUGUUGGAUGAGAGCGAGAGGGAAAAGGAUACAAGGUAGUGGUCGGAGACUUGGAGGGGAGUUGCAAUGAGAUUAGUGGAAGAACAGCAUCUAGUAAAGAUGAGGUCAAGCGUAUUGCCUGCCUUGUGAGUAGGGGGGGAAGGUGAGAGGGUGAGGUCGAAAGAGGAGGGGAGUGGAAAGAAGGAGGCAGAGAGGAAUGAGUAGACGUGGGGAGGUUAAAGUCACCCAGAACUGUGAGAGGUGAGCCAUCCUCAGGAAAGGAACUUAUCAAGGCGUCAAGCUCAUUGAUGAACUCUCCAAGGGAACCUGGAGGGCGAUAAAUGAUAAGGAUGUUAAGCUUGAAAGGGCUGGUAACUGUGACAGCAUGGAAUUCAAAUGAGGAGAUAGACAGAUGGGUCAGGGGAGAAAGAGAGAAUGUCCACUUGGGAGAGAUGAGGAUUCCAGUGCCACCACCCC
rnacentral:lncRNA from 1 species